UACGUAGGGUGCGAGCGUUAAUCGGAAUUACUGGGCGUAAAGCGUGCGCAGGCGGCUUUGCAAGACAGAUGUGAAAUCCCCGGGCUCAACCUGGGAACUGCAUUUGUGACUGUAUAGCUAGAGUACGGCAGAGGGGGAUGGAAUUCCGCGUGUAGCAGUGAAAUGCGUAGAUAUGCGGAGGAACACCGAUGGCGAAGGCAAUCCCC
rnacentral:rRNA from 1 species